rnacentral:lncRNA from 1 species
GGGCUGGAGAAAAUCAGCGAAUGGGACUUCAACGUGGCAGCUUUGGCGAGGCUGGCAGCUGGGUUUCGUGUCUUCGUGGGCGGCUGAGUCGAAGACACGAACGGUGGAGUCAACGAACGAAAAAGGGAUUCGCUGGUGGAGGCUUGCGGAUGGCAAGAAACUGAAGAGAAUCAGCUGCGUGAAGCCAUGUGGAGCUUCGGUCUUCAGAGAUGGGCUAGUUUGCUGACCUGCGGAUGAAGACACGAAGAUGAGUGGUCUUCAACGCUGGUUUGUUGACCAAACAACCAGCAGACGCGGCCAAGUGGCAGCGUGGAGAGGAGAGAACUUCGGUGGGACGUUGGCAGCUUCUGAUUUCUGGUUUCUUCGCUGCUGUGCGUGAGAACACGAGUGAAUGGAGAGAGAGAGGUUUUGGGGUGGCUUCACGCUUCUCCGAAUGAAGAAGGGGAUUUUCACGCGUGAGGCAGGAAUGGCUGAACUUGCGGGAGAAGCUAACUAAGAUGAAGGGAAAAGUCAGCAAUCCUUAGCCAACAAAUUUAAUGCUUG